AACCGCUGGCAAUGAGCAAAGAGACACCUUGUUGUUGGUGGUGGUCUUAUAUCAGUCAGAAGCAGAGCAGAUGGCAGUCCUUUGUUCAUCCUAGCUUGAUGCCUGGCCUGGUAGCCAAAGCUGUCUUAUGCCUAGGACUCAUAA